rnacentral:rRNA from 1 species
GAUGAACGCUGGCGGCGUGCCUAAUACAUGCAAGUCGAGCGAACGGACGAGAAGCUUGCUUCUCUGAUGUUAGCGGCGGACGGGUGAGUAACACGUGGAUAACCUACCUAUAAGACUGGGAUAACUUCGGGAAACCGGAGCUAAUACCGGAUAAUCUUUUGAACCGCAUGGUUCAAAAGUGAAAGACGGUCUUGCUGUCACUUAUAGAUGGAUCCGCGCUGCAUUAGCUAGUUGGUAAGGUAACGGCUUACCAAGGCAACGAUGCAUAGCCGACCUGAGAGGGUGAUCGGCCACACUGGAACUGAGACACGGUCCAGACUCCUACGGGAGGCAGCAGUAGGGAAUCUUCCGCAAUGGGCGAAAGCCUGACGGAGCAACGCCGCGUGAGUGAUGAAGGUCUUCGGAUCGUAAAACUCUGUUAUUAGGGAAGAACAUAUGUGUAAGUAACUGUGCACAUCUUGACGGUACCGAAUCAGAAAGCCACGGCUAACUACGUG